rnacentral:rRNA from 1 species
AUUGAACGCUGGCGGCAUGCCUUACACAUGCGAGUCGAACGGCAGCGGACCUUCGGGUGCCGGCGAGUGGCGAACGGGUGAGUAAUGUAUCGGAACGUACCUUUCAGUGGGGGAUAACGUAGCGAAAGUUACGCUAAUACCGCAUAUUCUGUGAGCAGGAAAGCAGGGGAUCGCAAGACCUUGCGCUGAUUGAGCGGCCGAUAUCAGAUUAGCUAGUUGGUGAGGUAAAGGCUCACCAAGGCGACGAUCUGUAGCGGGGCUGAGAGGAUGAUCCGCCACACUGGAACUGAGACACGGUCCAGACUCCUACGGGCGGCAGCAGUGGGGAAUUUUGGACAAUGGGGGCAACCCUGAUCCAGCCAUGCCGCGUGAGUGAAGAAGGCCUUCGGGUUGUAAAGCUCUUUCGUCCGGGAAGAAAUCGCAUCAGCUAAUACCUGGUGUGGAUGACGGUACCGGAAUAAGAAGCACCGGCUAACUACGUGCCAGCCGCCGCAGUAAAAC